GCAGAGAGGUGGGGGUCAUGGAGAAGGUCUCCUGAUGAGCAGAGAGACAGUUCUCUGCUGGAGAUCGUUGCAUGGCUGACAAAGUUUACUUAACACCAACCCCUGGGAGCUCAGGUCACCAUGGGGGGGAGGAGACCCCGUUCUCCUCCAGCUCAGAGAGUUAGGUUGUUGUCAUAAAAGGAUCUGAACAACAGUGAGGAGACAGAAUGAUUAAGGGCCUCUGUGGCACUGAGAGAAGGUUUUGCUGGUCCAAUACAUUCAAGCCAUAACCAUACGCAAAUCAAUUUGCAGUGAUUACAGAACCAAUUUUCAGUCAAGUUACAUUGUUGUUAUAAAGUUUGCAAGCAGGGACAAGGGAGAAUUCCUCCUUGUUGGUGAAUCUAAGACAUCUGUCGUUUAUGAAAAACUACAAAGCUCCUAAUAUAAUUUUCACAACAUCCGUGUUAACAUAUUGUUUGCCAUCCAGGUCUGAUUUCCCGACAUCAUAAAUGUGAGGCUUUUUCUGUAGCUGACUUUUAAACCCCAGAUGUUGGAGUUUCCCACAGUAAAGCACGCCAACAAGGAAGCGUUUAAUAAAUGCGCCGCCUCCUACAAUAUCAACCUCACAAUGAUAAUACAAAAGAAAGUGGAGUUUAUACAGUGAUGACGUAAACUUAAAUCCUUAAAUGAUUCUAAUUUCUAAUUUCAGAUACAUUUUACCCCCCAUUAAAGGAUCAGUGUAGUAUUUAGUGGCAUCCUGCGGUGUAGCUACAGAUUGCAACACCCUUGCUUCACCUUCCCCUUUCAAGCAUGAAGGAGAAACUACAGGUGACCAUAAAACCUGUGUCUGCUUUUGGUUCUGUUUGGUUUGUCUGCUCAUAACAGCUCAUUCUAAGGUAACAAAAACACAAUGAUUCCUAUAUGCAGGUGAUUAUUCACUAAUGAAAACAUACCUAUGCAUAUUAUAUUUCAUUUCUGCCACUAGAUCCUCCUAAAUGUUACACACUGGAUCUUUAAGGCAACAGCCAUCCUCUCUGCCACAUGCUGUUGUGCAAGGUUAGCCCUUUAAUGCCUUUUAAAUGUUUUUUGCUUAACCCUCAUUACCCAACUCUCCUAAUUUGUGUAGUCCGAUUAAAUUUGUUACAGUGUGCUGAUUAUUUACUCAAAGGUGUGAUCGACUAUAUCAGAAACAUUAAAUGACUAUCUUUCUUAUCAAAUUUUUACUACAGUGCUACAAAGUUAAGUUAUCAAAUCAUUUAAAGAGUGACUGGUAAAAGUGCCAGAGAAAUACUACCUUAUUGUACUCUGAUAUUUUUCUUACUACUACCUUGUCUGGGUGCGGCACACAACCUGAAACGUAUUGCUUUAUUUUAACAAAUUUUCUGAAACAGCAGGGAAUUGUAGUUUUCGGCAAAUGCCCCUCAACCAGGAAUAAAUAGUGAAUUUGUGUGGACUACUUUCAGGUGCACAAAAAUGCUCUUACAGCAGCAGGACGGUGUGUGUGUGGAAUUGCCUCAAAAUAUAUGAAACCGAUCAUGUUCAUGGUAAGGAGGAAUCAUAUAACAGUGUGGCUCACUGAUGUGUUUGUGAUUGUUUUUAGACAACAAUGGAGAUCACAAACUUGAUCAGCCUUUGGCGACAGAGUGUAAAAUGCUGUGCUGAAAUUAACUGGGGUUUGAGUAUGUCAAAUGUGACUGAAAAGCACGUCACUGCUAAAAAUAAAUCUAAAUGUAAAAUGCAAGAAACCUCCAGUAUUUCUUUCAAUAUUUAGAUGGGUAAAGGUCCUCAUCAUCCAAAACCAAUAUAGCAGUAUGGAAAAUAUACUGUAGUAAUGUAGAUAUUUCCGCUUUAAACAAAAAAUAAACUAUAUAACAGCUAGAAAAUGACAUGUAUUGGUUAUCUUACAUACAAACCUUCUCUGUAUAGGUUACAUUUUCAUCCUUAAACAGGUCACCAUCGUGGCCCUGCCUCAGAUAAACAGAAUGUAAUACAUAUGCCAAAUGUUUCUACUUUGUUUCACUUUUGGCUGUGUGUGCUGUAACAGAGAUACACUGUCACUAGGCAACUGACAAAGGCUAUCAGUAUUACUUUAACGUGUCAACAAAUCCAAAGUAAUCCUGAAUAAGUAGCGAUAGUCAUUUGUUUAAUGUAAAGAUGUUAUAAAUUUUUACAAGCUGACAGUGUUGGCUCACUUCUCCCCUGUUCUUUAAUCAGAGUAAGUCUUCACUUCAGUGCAGCAGACAGUGUUUCCUCGAUGGCAGCUACUGCCCAUGACUCCUAUUAGAUUACAGGGGAGAUUUAUCGAACUGGCUUCCGGUUUUUCAGAUAGGAUAGUGACAACACUUAUCUCCAGAUAUUCCCUUAUCAAAAAACAAUUUAGUGAGAGAAACAGACAUUAGCCCAGAUUUUUUUACACUACCGAGUACUCCAGCUUUGCCUUCUCGGUACAAGGGUCUGUUUGCACUGUGUACACACGCACACUUCCAUCUGCCUGGAUAGAGAAGCAUUAACAUUGCCUUGGUGCGCUCUUGAUGUCACUGCCAUUACGUUCGCAUCAAGCUCUUGGACUUUGAGACUUGAUCAAUUCUGCUCAGACGUGGAAUACUGACAAAAGGUAUAUCGCAAACCAACUGUAGAAAGAGAAGACCUGACUGCUGUGAAGUUUCUGGAAGUACUGCUGUGUGUGUGUACAUUUAUGCACAAGUGUAGUGGUGUGUGUGUGUGUAUGUGUGUGUGUGUGUGUGUGUAUGGUUAACCUGGCAGCAGGGAUGGGCCAACAGGCCAGACUUAGCAGCUGGUGAGAGAGGUCACUACAGGAGAAAGAGCCGGUGGGUCACCAUGAGGUUAUCCUGACCUGAGCUUCAUUUUGUGCUGUCUCUAUUUAUCAAGAACCAAGGAAGGCAUGUGUUUUGUUCGGGUGGGUGCCUGCCAGUGCUUGUGUAUGGAUAGAGAAAGCGAGACAACGGAAAGCAAUGGCAAAUUUUGAAACAGCUACAAGAUUUUGACAGUGGUGUUUGUCAAAUAUUCAUUUGUGUGUGUGUGUGUGUGUGUGUGUGAAGCCAGAAGGCCAUCUGGGGGAGUUGGGCAGACAGAUAGCACUCACUCCUGUUAGUGUGACCCUGGAAGGAUAGCUGAAGAAAAACUGGACAAUAAAGUUGUACAGAGCAUGACGAGGUUUUAUGGAGCUAAUAGCAAAGUCGAUCUCUAGUAACUGAACCUGUUCUAACCAAAGACCUUACUUUUUUCCCCAAACACCUGUUGGCAUGUCAGAUGAGAUGGUUCACGUAAAGCUGAUGUGCCCAACAAGCAUUCAGACUAUUUGUUCUUUCUGUGGAUGAUGCCUGUAAAAGGGGCUGCAGGUGCUUGGGCCAGGGGCACAGUGUCUAGGGGCCAUGUUAACGAUUAACACAGCCAUAUAACACUGUUACUGAUUACCGCCUCCCGCUCUUGAGACUCCCACUGACCUGAGUCACAGACUUGUGCACACAGUUCAGUCCUCACCCUCGCUGGAUCUUUUCAACGACCUUCAUGAUGACCUUUCUCCGUUCUGCCAUAAAAUGCCAAGAUGUAUAGAUGUUUUCUACAAAGUUAAGAGGAGCCACGUUUGUCAUGUAGUGCUCCAGAUACUUCAUUUGGGGGCAAAAGUCUAAGGUGUAGAGGACACUGAUGAAUGACUCACAGAACAUGUACAGCAAGGCUGCUGUGAGAUGAGGAAACGUUAAGGUGUUGUACUUACAUGCUUUGUGAUAAGAACUCUGCUUAUGCUACGUUACGUUGUAAUGUUUACAACAAGCGCAGGAAGAUAAAGACUGUCGUAAGCAGUUUAUGAAUUAUUCUUUCACCAAAUAAAAUAUCCUCAAAGCUCUGUAAUGAGACGUGUUGUGAUUUUCACUGUCAUUACUGCUACAUCCUCUUGUCUGGCAUUUGGAUGAGAAGAUCGAUACCACUCGAAUGUCUAAAGUUUAGAGCUUGACCCAGGAGGUGAUUAGCCUAGCUUAGCAUAAAGAUUAGAAGCAGGUGGAAACAGCUCGCAUAGUUAAAAAAUGCGUACCUAACACCUCUAAAGCUCACUAGUUAACAUGUUUUAUCUUGUUUGUUUAAUCAGUGGUUCUAAAGGGAGUUGCCUUCAUCCCUCCUUACAGCAUGUAACUCCCUGUCGUUUUUACAUUUCAUUUUAUGUACGGAUUAAAAUA